AAAAAACUGAAAUUUUACUAACUUCGCAAGUUCAUCUUGUAAUAAUGGCAUUGUCAGCUGUGCAAGAUUGAAUAAAAGAUAUUGUAAGAGUAUAUAAUUAGAACACCCGCUAAAAGAAAAAAGUUGUCCAAAAUCGAUAUAACAAUAUUAGUUCCUAAAGAAUUUAUAUAAUUACGUUGCAGUAAAGAGCCCUGACAUCAGACCUACGUACCUUUGUAUUCAUUGCACCAAUAUUAGCCAACCAACAUUUUUAAAUUUUGGUUAAAUCAGUUUAAAUAUAUAGAGCGCGUUUGAUUUGACUUAUAAGUUCAUCAAAUCUACUUAAAAUGUAAGUAAACUAUGGUUUGAUUUAGCUUAUAAGUUAAAAAAACUAUUUAAAAUAAGUCAGAAUUACUUAUUUUAAAACUACUGUUUGACCGUAAAAGAUUAUGUUAUCCUAAUAAUUUUUUAAAAUAUCAACGUUAUCCUCAUUUUUAACAAUUAUAACACUUAAUUACGUAUCUUUUUAGGGUUUUCAAUAAAUUAAAUUCAUUUUAAGCAACUUUUAACCAAACACUUAAUCUACUUAGAUGUUAUUUUUAAAUAAUUUUACCAAACAAUUAAUUAUAAGUAACACGCUCCUAUCCUUUUUUUAAAGAAAUUUACAGCAACUUCUUUUACAUGCUACUUUGCUAUAAAUUUUACAAAUUGUUUUUUAGAUUGGAUAUUUCAACGAUAUAAAGACUUAAAAAUUUUAUGAGAAAAUCUCAGACUUGAUA
rnacentral:misc_RNA from 1 species